AAAGAGGCGGCAUUGCCGUCUCGAAACCCAACUUGCGAGUUGCAACCUCUUUCUCUAGUCUUUAAAAAGAAGGACUAGAAUACGAAAGUUGGAUAGGUCAAAUAUAGAGAGAAUCUUCUUCACCCUUCUUCUCCCACAACGCGGCUCUUGCGCUCAAGACCAAGCAGAUCGACAUUUUAUGGAUAAAGGAGUAACUGGAAAGGAGGCCCUGAAGGAAGUGACCCGUGAGUCGCUUAUUGCCAUUUCUUACUCUGAACCAGAGAAGAAACUCACUUCUGAUAAGUUGAAUGGUGAAACUCUGGUUAAAGCAAUAGAUUCUGAUGGAGAAGACAAGUUCAGGUCUGAACUGAUCUCCAUUUCCUAUACGCCGUCUUCAGAAUUUGAAGGCUUUCCUGUUACCAAUGGUGAACUUAAGGACUAGGCUGCAAGCAAUCCAUGUAUUAAUAUAGCACAAAGUAAUAUUGUGUGCAUGGACUUGUGUUAUAUAGAAGUUUCACAUUUUCUGUAUAAUAACCUUGGGAGAAUGAAUGGACAUGUGUUUCUGGACAUAUUUGCUUUAUCUUCAUUCCGCAUUUGUCAUGCUAUAAAUUGUGUAAUUGUUUUUGC